UUUCUGAUUAAUCUGGUGUGACUAGAUUAAGUACGCAUCAUUAUGUCAAGUGAUUCAGAGACUCCGAUAGAUGCUACUGUUGAAUCCGGUGAGACUGGAUUAGCCAUGAAUAGAUCUGGUGCGACUGGAUCUGAUGUGAUGCGGUCACAAGCUCCGACCUUUAUAUCUACUUCGUCUAAGCUCGUCGAACGUGUUUUGACGGGACAGUCUACAUACACACUUUGGAAGAAGAAUGUUUUCAAGAAUUUGCACGGACAGCGGUUAUCUCAUCAUCUUACUCAGCCUCCCCCGAGCAGGGAUGACCCGACUUAUGAUGAAUGAUGCUCGAGUUCCUUCUCUUGGAGAAGUUCAUCGUCGUGUUCUUCAUACUGCGAGUCGUAAGGAGGUUAAAGCCGCCCCCUCAGAGGUUGGUGAAUAGGCUGCUGCUUUAUAUACGAACAAAGGAGGUGGCCAUGGCAGUGGAGGCCGUGACCGAGGGGGAGGUCGUGGUGGUACUACCGGUCGUGGUCGGGAGACUCGUACUUGCAAUUAUUGUGGUAUUGUUGGACAUCUUCGCAGCUAUUGCCGAAAAUUACAAGCUGCACAAGCAGCUUCUGGUUCACUAACCACAUCUGCUCAUGUUGCGCCUGAGAGCGUGCCUAUGGACCAAAAGGUGAUCACAAUGAGUCCUGAGGAGUAUACUCGCUACUUGGAGUUUCAGACCUCAGGGAGUAGGACUGCGUCUGCCUCUAUUGCACAACUACAGCAAUCAUCUAAUUAUUCCUCUACCUCAGCAUGUGCAGCUCUUCCUUCCGCUACUUGGAUUAUUGAUUACGGUGCGGUGCUCACAUGACGGGUAAUAGAGAUCUCUCGAUGCGGAAGACUAUCAGUAAGGGAAGUGUCAAUGGUGGGAUCUACCAGCUAGAUGGUGCGUCUAUU